AGAUGUAAGUUAACUCCACCUGGUACUGGAAACUGAAUUGCUUCUCCAUCUAUAAAUCCAGGUUUCAUCUCUUUGGAGAUAACCAGUGGAUUAUGAGGUGUGUUUGAGAGAAGCAUCAACACUCACUCCUGAAGCAGCCACAGAAGUGAUGAGGCACUAGAGACUCCUACAAAUGAGCUUGCCUUCCUCAAACAGGAGACACAAAACAUGGCAGAAUGAGAGAAGAGGAGCAAGGAAGCAUUAUAAAAUGUGAAAAGACACCAGAAAUCAAGAAGGAGGGG